GGUUGGAUCAUUAACAAAAUGAUUUUAUUGAGAGGCAACUCUCUUUAAAAAAGGGGAAGGAGUUUGUACAGUUUAACGACUUGCACUCUUCUUCUCUGAAACCUUUUGUGAACUUGUUUUAUUGUCUCUGGUGGGCUGGGGAUUCGUUCUCAACUCGCCAGUAAACCCUUUGAACAUUUAUUUUUCAAUCGUCUCAUAAAACAAAAAACAAAAAAGAAACAACUUUUGACAACGGAUCUCUUGGCUCUCGCAACGAUGAAGAACGCAGCGAAAUGCGAUACGUAAUGUGAAUUGCAGAAGUACGUGAAUCAUCAAAUCUUUGAACGCAUAUUGCGCUUUUUGGUAUCCCAGAAAGCAUGCCUGUUUGAGAAUCAAUUCAACCUUUCAAUCCAGUGUUGGGAACGAGACUCGUCUCAAUCUUGAUACUGCCUUGAGAUUUGGACCUUUACUAAUUCGUUAGUAUGAGUCUUGAAUUUAUUGUUUUGGUGGCCAUUAUCAAGUUAUAAUAUUUGAGAGGCGAUACUGGUAAAGGAAGGCUUAACAAACCUGCUUUUUCUAACGCUGAUUGAAUGUUGUGACGCUUAUUGAUUUUAGUUGCCAAACUCAAACCAACAGUCCUUGGACUGACCACAUUGAGAGAGGGUUAAACCUCAAUCUUUAAAUCUUGGUCUCAAAUCAGGCAAGAGUACCCGCUGAACUUAAGCAUAUCAAUAAGCGGAGGAAAAGAAACUAACAAGGAUUCCCCUAGUAACGGCGAGUGAAGCGGGAACAGCUCAAAUUUGAAAUCUCGUAGGCUUUGUCUGCGCGAAUUGUAGUUUAGAGAAGUGUUUUCGAAGGUGAACGAGGCUCAAGUCCUUUGGAACAAGGCGUCAUAGAGGGUGACAAUCCCGUCUUUGGUCUCGCUCUCAUCUUCAUGUGAUACACUUUCAAAGAGUCGGGUUGUUUGGGAAUGCAGCCCAAAAUGGGUGGUAAAUACCAUCUAAAGCUAAAUAACGGCGAGAGACCGAUAGCGAACAAGUACCGUGAGGGAAAGAUGAAAAGAACUUUGAAAAGAGAGUUAAAUAGUACGUGAAAUUGUCAAAAGGGAAACGCUUGAAAUCAGUAUUGCGUAUAGCAAAUCAACCGUUGCUUUGGGAACGGUGCACUUUGCUAUGGGCAAGUCAACAUCGGUUUGACUUGGAGUAAAAGCCUUGUGGAGAAUGUAGCCUUACCCUCGGGUUUGGUGUUAUAGCCUUCAAGGGAUGCUCUGGGUUGGACCGAGGUUCGCAGUGCGGCAACCGGGUAGCCUGCCUCCUUUGGAACUUGAAACGUAGACAGCAUGCUGAUUACGGUUCAAUCCCUCCAUUUGAGGUGGGAUCUAUCACAAGCCCCGCUUAGGAUGUUGACGAAAUGGUUUUAAACGACCCGUCUUGAAACACGGACCAAGGAGUCUAACAUAUAUGCAAGUAUUUGGGUGAUUGAAACCCCAUAUGCACAAUGAAAGUGAUAAGGUGGGAACCUCGUAAGAGAUGCACCAUCGACCGGUCUCCGAAGAAAUUUAUUUUUUAAAGAUCCGAGUAAGAGCAUAUCUGUUGGGACCCGAAAGAUGGUGAACUAUUCCUGAAUAGGGUGAAGCCAGAGGAAACUCUGGUGGAGGCUCGUAGCGAUUCUGACGUGCAAAUCGAUCGUCAAAUUUGGGUAUAGGGGCGAAAGACUAAUCGAACCAUCUAGUAGCUGGUUCCCUC
rnacentral:misc_RNA from 1 species